rnacentral:rRNA from 1 species
AAGACCUCGCGCUCAUGGAGCGGCCGAUGUCGGAUUAGCUAGUUGGCGGGGUAAAGGCCCACCAAGGCGACGAUCCGUAGCUGGUUUGAGAGAACGACCAGCCACACUGGGACUGAGACACGGCCCAGACUCCUACGGGAGGCAGCAGUGGGGAAUUUUGGACAAUGGGCGCAAGCCUGAUCCAGCCAUGCCGCGUGAGUGAAGAAGGCCUUCGGGUUGUAAAGCUCUUUCGGCCGGAACGAAAUCGCGUACGUGAAUAACGUGCGUGGAUGACGGUACUGGAAGAAGAAGCACCGGCUAACUACGUGCCAGCAGCCGCGGUAAUACGUAGGGUGCGAGCGUUAAUCGGAAUUACUGGGCGUAAAGCGUGCGUAGGCGGUUUUGUAAGUCAGAUGUGAAAUCCCCGGGCUUAACCUGGGAACU